UACGAAGGGGGCUAGCGUUGUUCGGAAUUACUGGGCGUAAAGCGCGCGUAGGCGGCUUUGCAAGUCGAGUGUGAAAUCCCCAGGCUUAACCUGGGAACUGCAUUCGAGACUGCAUAGCUAGAGUAUGGGAGAGGGAAGUGGAAUUUCAGGUGUAGCGGUGAAAUGCGUAGAUAUCUGAAGGAACAUCAGUGGCGAAAGCGACUUCCUGGACCAAUACUGACGCUCAUGUGCGAAAGCGUGGGGAGCAAACAGG
rnacentral:rRNA from 1 species